UACGAAGGGGGCUAGCGUUGUUCGGAAUUACUGGGCGUAAAGCGCGUGUAGGCGGGCCGUUAAGUCGGGGGUGAAAGCCCAGAGUUCAACUCUGGAACUGCCUUCGAUACUGGCGGCCUGGAGCAUGAUAGAGGCGAGUGGAAUUACGAGUGUAGAGGUGAAAUUCGUAGAUAUUCGCAGGAACACCAGUGGCGAAGGCGACUCGCUGGAUCAUUGCUGACGCUGAGACGCGAAAGCGUGGGGAGCAAACAGG
rnacentral:rRNA from 1 species